rnacentral:rRNA from 1 species
UACGUAGGGACCAAGCGUUGUCCGGAAUCAUUGGGCGUAAAGCGCGCGUAGGUGGCCAUUUAAGUCCGCUGUGAAAGUCAGAGGCUCAACCUUUGAAAGCCGGUGGAUACUGGAUGGCUAGAGUACGGAAGAGGCGAGUGGAAUUCCUGGUGUAGCGGUGGAAUGCGCAGAUAUCUGGAGGAACACCGGUGGCGAAGGCGGCAUCCUGGACCGAGAUCGACGCUGAGGCGCGAAAGCUAGGGGAGCAAACGGGG